rnacentral:rRNA from 1 species
AUUAAACGCUGGCGGCAUGCCUUACACAUGCAAGUCGAACGGCAGCACUGGGGCAACCCUGGUGGCGAGUGGCGAACGGGUGAGUAAAGCAUCGGAACGUGCCCUGGAGUGGGGGAUAACGUAGCGAAAGUUACGCUAAUACCGCAUAUUCUGUGAGCAGGAAAGCAGGGGAUCGCAAGACCUUGCGCUCUGGGAGCGGCCGAUGUCGGAUUAGCUAGUUGGUGGGGUAAAGGCCUACCAAGGCGACGAUCCGUAGCGGGUCUGAGAGGAUGAUCCGCCACACUGGGACUGAGACACGGCCCAGACUCCUACGGGAGGCAGCAGUGGGGAAUUUUGGACAAUGGGCGAAAGCCUGAUCCAGCCAUGCCGCGUGAGUGAAGAAGG